GACAUCGGCACUACCAUCUCAUAAGCAGAUUUCAUAACAUCUCAGUAACUAAGUAAGGUUGGGACUGAUUAAUACUCGGUUGGGAAGCCUCAAAGGAAAAUCUGGUUGCUUAUAUAC
rnacentral:rRNA from 1 species